GCCGGAGUGGUGGAACUGGCAGACGCAGGGGACUUAAAAUCCCCUGGCCCUGAAAGGGGCCGUACGGGUUCGAAGCCCGUCUCCGGCA
rnacentral:tRNA from 1 species